rnacentral:snRNA from 12 species
AUCGCUUCUCGGCCUUAUGGCUAAGAUCAAAGUGUAGUAUCAAAGUGGCUUUCCUUCACUAUAUUCUACAAACAAUAAAAUAGAAUUAUUUUUAUGACGCCAGUGAUGCAAAGCACCGAUCAGUAUGAACGUACAAUGUAUAUUAUCUUUUCUGUUAUAAUAUGUAAUACCAG